rnacentral:rRNA from 1 species
AUUGAACGCUGGCGGCAGGCCUAACACAUGCAAGUCGAGCGGAUGAAGGGAGCUUGCUCCUGGAUUCAGCGGCGGACGGGUGGGUAAUGCCUAGGAAUCUGCCUGGUAGUGGGGGAUAACGUCCGGAAACGGGCGCUAAUACCGCAUACGUCCUGAGGGAGAAAGUGGGGGAUCUUCGGACCUCACGCUAUCAGAUGAGCCUAGGUCGGAUUAGCUAGUUGGUGGGGUAAAGGCCUACCAAGGUGACGAUCCGUAACUGGUCUGAGAGGAUGAUCAGUCACACUGGAACUGAGACACGGUCCAGACUCCUACGGGAGGCAGCAGUGGGGAAUAUUGGACAAUGGGCGAAAGCCUGAUCCAGCCAUGCCGCGUGUGUGAAGAAGGUCUUCGGAUUGUAAAGCACUUUAAGUUGGGAGGAAGGGCAGUAAGUUAAUACCUUGCUGUUUUGACGUUACCAACAGAAUAAGCACCGGCUAACUUCGUG